rnacentral:tRNA from 1 species
CAAGUCCUGCAGUGAAACCACAUCGAAUUGCAAAUUCGGAGAUUCCACUAAAAAGUGGCCCGGACU